GUGCAGCAGUCGCGAAUACUUUACAAUGUGCGAAAGCACGAUAAGGGAACUCUGAGUGCCUCCGUAAGGAGGCUGUUCAGGUGUCUAAAAAGCACCUGAAGGAAGGGCUGGGUAAGACCGGUGCCAGCCGCCGCGGUAAUACCCGCGCCACAAGUGGUGGCCACGUUUAUUGGGUCUAAAGCGUUCGUAGCCGGCCUGAUAAAUUCUCGGUGAAAUCCUGUGUAAAUCAUAGGGCGUGCCGGGAAGACUGUCAAGCUAGGAACCGGGAGAGGCUGAGGGUACUCCAGGAGUAGGGGUUAAAUGCCGUUAUGGUUUUAACCCUACGGUUUUAACAAUCCUGUAAUUCUUGGAGGACCACCGGUGGCGAAGGCGCUCAGCUGGAACGGCUUCGACGGUGAGGGGACGAAAGCCAGGGGAGCGAACGGGAUUAGAUACCCGUGUAGU
rnacentral:rRNA from 1 species